CCUACGGGUGGCAGCAGUGAGGAAUAUUGGUCAAUGGGCGCAAGCCUGAACCAGCCAAGUCGCGUGAGGGAUGACGGUCCUAUGGAUUGUAAACCUCUUUUGUCGGGGAGCAAAGCACGCCACGUGUGUAGGGAAGGAGAGUACCCGAAGAAAAAGCAUCGGCUAACUCCGUGCCAGCAGCCGCGGUAAUACGGUGGAUGCGAGCUUUAUCCGGAUUGAUUGGGUUUAAAGGGUGCGUAGGAGGAAGGUUAAGUCAGCGGUAAAAGGUCGGUGUGCAACACCGGCCUGCCGUUGAAACUGGUCUGCUUGAGUGAGCGAGAAGUAUGCGGAAUGCGUGGUGUAGCGGUGAAAUGCAUAGAUAUCACGCAGAACUCCGAUUGCGAAGGCAGCAUACCGGCGCUCAACUGACGCUGAGGCACGAAAGCGUGGGGAUCGAACAGGAUUAGAUACCCGUGUAGUC
rnacentral:rRNA from 1 species